rnacentral:rRNA from 1 species
UGGGGAAUAUUGCACAAUGGGGGAAACCCUGAUGCAGCCAUGCCGCGUGUGUGAAGAAGUCCUUCGGGUUGGAAAGCACUUUCAGUGGUGAGGAAGGCCACAAGGUUAAUACCCUUGUGGAUUGACGUUAUCCACAGAAGAAGCACCGGCUAACUCCGUGCCAGCAGCCGCGGUAAUACGGAGGGUGCAAGCGUUAAUCGGAAUUACUGGGCGUAAAGCGAACGCAGGCGGUUUGUUAAGCGAGAUGUGAAAGCCCCGGGCUCAACCUGGGAACCGCAUUUCGAACUGGCAAACUAGAGUCUUGGAGAGGGGGGUAGAAUUUCCGGUGUAGCGGUGAAAUGCGUAGAGAUCGGAAGGAAUACCAGUGGCGAAGGCGGCCCCCUGGCCAAAGACUGACGCUCAGGUGCGAAAGCGUGGGGAGCAA